GUGAAUUUUAGGACUGCCGUCAGGCGUCCGAACCCCUCACUUUCUAACUCUGUGCAUUACGUUGGUCAACUUGGCGGAACGGACUCUUAGAAUCCUAUUACAACGAGUUGAUGGCUUCACUUUUUUAAACAUCAGUCAAUGAAUGUCAUAAAAUACAAAACAAAAAA
rnacentral:misc_RNA from 1 species